CAGAUUAAGGAACAUGUAGUGAGAGGAACAGAGUAUCAUAUGUUUGUCCAGCUCCAGCUGUUUUUAAAUGCUUUUGUUUAUUAUGUAUUUGACAGUUCAGCCAGUUUAUAAUGUCUUAAGUAUCAAUCUUUAUUACAGCGCUGAAUACACUCCUCGACUGUGGACACACUGAAGUGGAGACUACAGGUGUGUGGGCACACUGAAACAUGAAAAGUCUUCAACAGAGUGGAGUGAUGCUUUCACAUUGAGAGUAUCUAAUGAUAUACCUCAGCCUGUCCUCACUGUGUCUCCAUUAUGGC